UUAUAACAAUAUGAAUAGGUUAUCUUUUGGUAUUUUGUAUAUGUGCUUCUGUGGCAUAGUAUCGUUGUGGUGUUGGGAUUCAUAUUGAAAGUGCCUCAUUGGCACUUAAACAUGUGGGGAAGAAUGCGUGUGAGUGGUUAUGGGUAUUUGAGAGUAGAGUUUAGCUCUUGGUUGGGCUACUCUCCCUGACACAAGCACUGCCCUAGGCCUUGAGAUCCUUGGAAACUUUGAACUGUCGGAGAUCCACAGAGAGCCUUGGCCUUGAACGGAACUCUACUCUUAGCCUGUAAUCUAUUGACAAUCUUUACUCCUUUUGGGUUUAGCAUUUAAUGACAACUAAAGGUCUUCAAUGUGACUCACUUCACCAUAUGUGACCCCAUAUUAGUAUAAACUUUCAAAAUUAAAAUUACUAUCGGUUUGUUAUAUUUUGUUUAUGUCAUUUACCUAUAUAUCUCAUGUAUGAUUGUAUGUAUCGAAUAUUAUAUCUAAUAACUUUCUCUCUUGCUUUCUGAACAUGUAUAACAAUUGGGCCUGUUGAAUUCUCGAAAGACCUUAGGUCCAAAUAUGCACCUGCGCACUUGAGAGUCUAAAGCCCACUGCUGUCCGUUCCUGCUAUUUGUUGGGCCUGCCUAUUUGAGGCGCAAACCCCCAGAGUCCAUUAUUUCUCAUCUCUUGUUUGUUUACUGCUUCAGUUAUUUUACAGUUUCACUAUGUCAUUACUUUUUACUGUGUUUAUGUUAUUUUAUCUCACAUGUAUAUUGGAUUGAAUGCUUCAUUUUAUCUUUUAACUCACAUAAAUUAAUUUAGGCAAGCCAUAAAGAACCUAGGAUUAAAAGAGGCAUUGGUUAACAAUUAAUUCCAUAUCCUCUAAUCAUAAACUGUUAUCCAUCUAUUAUGCUUCGGCAAAUCUUUCCUUAGAGAUUUUUUAAGCCCAAAGACAUUACAAAGGUGGAAGUCCCUCUUUCAAAAUAAAGAAUCAGAACCGAGUUGCGAGUUUAAUAUUUUCUAAAUGAGAAUCAACUAUUUUUGAAAAGAUCAAGUGUUGCUGCCCCAAAAAACAAAGGCCUUCAAAUAAUUUUUUAUCUAAAAUCGAGGUAAUAUCUUAGGUUCAUUUUCAUAAAACUUUCACCAUAUUAAGGUAAUUUGAACUUCCAUCAUUUAGGAAACAAAGUGCACUAACUUAAGCUUCUUUUUUUUGUGAAAUACUUUCGUAACAAAUGUUCCACCUUUCAAAGUUCUUUUCAAGUUUAUAUAUACUAACACUAUUUUCUUAAAGGCUUAUAUUUAAAUCCAUCCUCUUUAAACCAUAUUCUUCCCUUAUAGCUAUUAUAUCCUAAUAUAUGGUAAGCUACACUUUUAAACACUAUUUAAAAUAUAGUAUAAAUAAAUAGUCCCAAACUAGUUUACAUUCUAUGGAGCUAACCUAGGUAGAUUUUAAAGGGUGCCUAACACCAUCCCCUUAGAAGAACAAGAACUCUUAUGCAUAAUCUCACUAGUUGGUAGAAUAGUAAAGAAUAUAACCUUUAGUAAUUAAAUAGAUACUCUAGUAUACCUUUAAAUAUUAGGUGGUGACUCACUUUCAUCAACAACAAAGAAACCACAAGUUGAAUUUUGUUUUGACUAAAGCAAAAUAGGGUGCAACACCUCGGUGCAUAGGUGGGUCUAUUAUUGUGGGUGGUGGUUUGGGUCGGGGCAAAUGGUCGUGGUAGGUUUAGAUGUAUAGGCUCAGGGUGGGUUGUAGCGAUGUUGAGCGUUGUAGUAUGGUUGGGUGUUAUAUACUAGGGCAUAGGUGGGUUGAUGUGUGGGAUAAGUAUUUAUGGUGUAGGAGUUGGUUUGAUGAGGAGGACUUUACUGAUAUUGGAGAACGAUUGUCGUUAUUUCCUCUUUCUUUUUAUUCCCACAGGCUAUGGAACCAUAUUGCAUAGCCUUGCUGAUAGUUGACAGCUGGCAGCUUGCAGCAUGGCCACUGAUUGUAUUUUUCCUGACUUGAUGCUUUCCUCCAAGAAUUCUCCCAUUUUAAUCAUCUCGGGAAAUUUUUGACCAACAUACCCAUCAUCUUUUCAAAGUAUAUCCCCUUUUGGGCCCUGAUUAAAUACUUGCUUAGCUCAUUAAUAUUCAGUGGAGGUUGGGUCUUGGCGGCUUUCGAUCUCCAACGAUAAGCAUACUCUUAAAAUGAUUACGAGGGUUUAUUCUAUAAAUUGACAAAAAUGAACCUGUUUGGAGUGAUUUCGGUACUAAAUCUAAAGUGAUUCAUAAAAUCAUCUGCCAUGUCCUUCCACUCUCUCUAAUUCCGGGGACCUUGCCGUGUAUAUGAGGUAAGCAUUUCUCCUGUCAUACUCCUUAUAAACAACCUCAUUCUCAGCUUUUUAUUUCUUCCCAUUGCGACCAACUUGUCAGAAUAAACCCUCAAAUGAGCAUGAGGAUCACUUGUUCCAUCAAAAAUGUCAAACUUUGGAGGCUUAUACCCUGCGGAUAUAUCAACAUCGGGAUGCAUACACAAGUUCUCAAAAUCCAGGCUCUCGCUCCCUUAAGCAACCUAGAGGUUCCUUAUCUAUUUUCUGUACACUCAUAGUUGUUCUGACACUAAUUCAUCUUCCUUGUAUUUUGCUUCUUUCUCCAUCUCAGCAUAUUGGUCGAUCUCACAAGGCACUCUUACCAUGAAGGGCACGGUAAAGGUAGGCUUAGAGGUGGCAUAUACAGGUUGAACAUACUGCUCAUAUGUGAUGAUGUGUGUCGCAUGUGUGUGAUGGGUCUGGUUGGCAAUAGUGACGCUAUUGCGAGUAGGGGUGUGAAAUAAAUUGUUGGUGGAUGGUGGAUUUUAUGGUGUCUGGACAUAAUUCAGGGCAUAGGGUGUAUGUAUAGGGGGUUUGGCAGAUUUUUCGAGGUUAUUAGUGGUAUAACUUGGGUUGAAGAAUUUGUAGUGACAACGAUUGGGGUACUGGUUGUUUAUCGGGUUGCUGAAGGAAAAUUAUCAAGGAUUGAAUCUAAGGAAGAGAAUCAGGGUGGUUGCGGAAACAUCGUCACGACCAAGUAUGACACCUCCUGGAUCUGUUGUACUUCUUAUCUCAAUGACUCUAUUUCCUGCGCCAUCCUGGCAACGCGUUUAUCAUUUCGGGUAUUUUCUAUCAAUAAAUACCUAGUUUUAUAAAAAAAAAUUAAUUAAGUAUUAGUUUUGAAGUUAGUCACCUAAUAUUAACAUUAUGUAAUUACAAAUAUACUUACUAUUUUAAUUUAUAAAAUACAUAAUAUAGGCUUUAUAUUUAAUUUAGUGAAUUACUCCUUAAUUUCUAGAUUAAUUAGACUACUAUGGCAAUAAUUAUAAAUUAGUACAGUAAAUAGAAAAAUAAGAUAUUAUAGUUAUUAAUUAACUAAUUGUAGUAAUUAGUAGUAUAUAUGAUGGUUUUAAUUUCUAUUAUAUUUAUUGAAAUUAUUUAAGUUUAUUUAAAAUUAUUUUAAAGGGGCUAAAGACUGAAAUGGCUACAGUUGCAAAGAUCCAAUCAAAUACAAAUUGGCUAUUUGUAAAUUAAAACCAGCCCAAACAAUUGGCCGAAUCCCCUACCUGACCCACUCCAAACGCCCUCACAAGUCCAAGUUGGCAAUCUACAACUUCCUCUCUAAGCCAAUCUAUUUGCACCAUGUAGACUAUUCCCUACACUCACAAAGAAGCACAAACAAAAUCUUGACUGUUGAUUGCACCACAUAGACUAUUCCCUACACUCACAAAGAAGCACAAAUAAAUCUAGACCAUUGAUCCAACACAUAAACGGUCAGUGAUUAACUCUAGUUUUCUCUUUUUUUUAAUUCCAUCUAGAACUUCAAUCACACCAUCCAAAUACAAUUAUCUUACGGCCACAAUUCCCCUUUAAACCCUUUUUAUGCCCGAAUUUUCAGGGUCGUUGAUCAUCAGAUCCAACGGCUCAGAUCUCAUGUCCCCCUCUUAAAUCUAAAGAACAAUCCCAACUACCGAAACCCUAAAUCCAUUUCAUCGGAGACCAUGCCGUCCCCUUUUCCCUUUUGCUCUCUACUCUCCUACCAAGGUCAACAAAUCAACAACCAAAUCAUCCCUUCUGUCUUCGCUAGCCGCGAAUCCUGCCGAUUUAUUUCCCUUUUCAUUAUUUAAUUUCAAAAUGCCUAAAAUCUGGAAACCUAGCUUAAGGAUGCAACUUCAAAUCGAUCGAAUCCUCUUAUGCUCCAUCAAAUCGGGGUAUGCAUGGAGCUUCUUCAGAUAUUUAUCUUGAGAAUCUAUACCUAGAGGUCAAAUGCAAUGACCUCUUGGUUUUAGGAUUUGUCCGAUGGUCCCUUGCCUUCGACGGUCGAUUCCUCCUCUCGGGCAAAAUUCUUUAUCAUUUUUUCCUCUGUUUUCAGUCUGAUUUAUCCCUUCUUGCUAUCAUCAUCUGUCUUUCAUCAUAUUUCACUAUCGAUUUGAAUCUGCUGAAACCCUAAUGGCUCUAUGACGACUAUAAAUAGUGUCUUCAAUGCUCUCACCAAUCAACAAGAUAUACCUACUAACUAUACUUAACAUCUGAGAAUUUUAAUACUUGCUAGGGAAAUCUCGAUAAAAGUCUAUAUUUCUGCUUUUCUUUUCCUUUGGAUUUUGAGUGUGAUACUAAUUGAGAGCUUGAGCUCUUGGUUUUCCAAAAAGGCUAAUUUGAACACUCGUUUGGUUUGCUGCCCCCAAAAAGGUCAGUAAAACCUCGACUUUAUUUCUUCUUUAACUAGUUCAAAUUCCUGAAUAUGAACUGCUUUACUACCUUUGUUGAAUGAUGUUAUCAAUUAAUGUGUUCAUGUUUUUUAACUAUUUUUGUAUCUGUAUGUUGUUUAGUGGAUUCUGUUAUCAUAAACUUUCUUAAGUUGCUAAAAUCAGAAUUAUAUAUUGAUACUGAUAUGCAUCCAGUGACUCAUUCCUACUAUUAACCUUCAAAAUGACUAAAGAGAAUCAUACAUUCCUAAUACCUAGUUUCAGACCUCUUUAAUGAUUCCAUUAGCACUAUUCUGACUGUUAUGUUAAUCUCUUCUAAUGUUACUUUGUGGUUCACUUAAUAGUCUAAAUUUAACAAAGUAUGAAUCAUUUUAAUGAGAACCAGCUUGCUACAUUAGUUUAGAAAUACCAGAUCAUGACCAUUGAACAUGUUCUUAUCUCCUUAAUAUGCCUCUAUAAUCAUGUUAAUCAAUUGAUUAAACUCAUGCCUGUUUAUGUAACCUAACCUAAGUUAGUUGGAUUUUUCUAUCACUUUUGUAUAUAUUCUGAGAUUACCUUACACUUAUUUUAAGACAUGAAGUAAGAUGUAUUGACAUAUUUAUUUAGCUAAAAUCCUAUUGCUAUAUUCCAUUAUACCUGAGACCCUAUCCCCAUACAUGUUUAACAUGUUUCCCCAAAUGUAAUAUACCCUUAUCCUUUUCUUGGAACUCAUAUGAUGAUAUUAUUGGUUAUACUUGUAUAAUGUGACCUCUGUCAAGUGUCCUUUGUGUAUGCUCUUGUAAUCCUGCACUAAUUUUUUUUAUCUUUAGUGCCUCCGUUUGUCCUUUAUGACCACAUGCAUGACUGCGUUGUCUUUGAAACCUCACUAAACUCUCUUAAAUGGAUCAAACCUACCCUGUGAACUAUAAAGGAAUCUCUUGUGGCUAUUGCUGGGAUAUAACAACAUGCUUUGUUUUCAAUAGGAUUAGUGUGAAGCUAAAACUCUCACGAAGAAGUCAUUAUAUCAUUGAUUUUAAGAUUAAGCAAGAUUGAUAGCUUAGGAAUCUCUUAAUACUCCUAAAAGUCCUAAGUGAAGUUGUGAAUCUAUGACCAAUUUAUGUACUCUUGGAAGUCCUGAUUAUAGUUUGAUAUCUGUGAAAGUGCCAUUGGAAGCUCUAAUAAUGAUUACUGCUUUGAAUUUUAGAAUGUUCUAAUUGAAGUCAUCAACUUAUGCCUCUUAAUUAAGAUUAUUGGUAUGUAUCUCUAUUUGAAGUUGCUGACAUAUAUUUGUAUUGGUACUCUUUAGAGAGUUUUAGCUAUGGUUGUCAAUCUGCCCUCCCCUAAUCACCCUCAGAACUUAAUCGAAGACAUUGGUCUAUAUCUUUGUGAAUACUUUUUAAGAGAUUUAAUUGGGGUUGUUAACCCAUGUGCUAUCAAAACCUAAGUUAAAGUCAAUCUUUGAUUGCUCUAGUCGAAGGAUGUUACGGUACAUGUGUUCAUGAUUGCUGCAGACUGGGAUAUAUGUUUUUCCUAUUAUUAAAACAUAUGAUCUUAGGAGUUUUGAUUCUUUAAAAAUGAUAUGAUAAUAUCUCUGCUUCUAUGUAUGUAUGAAGCUGAUUUCAUUAAACCUGCUAUGCAUGUUACUUAGAAUGAAUCAUCCAUUUAGCUUUGAAAUAUGGUUAUAACAAUAUGAAUAGGUUGUCUUAUGGUAUUCUAUAUAUGUGCUUGUGUGGCAUGGUAUCACUGUGGUGUUGGGAUUCAUAUUGAAAGUGCCUCAUUGGCAUUUAAACAUGUGGGGAAGAAUGAGUGUGAGUGGUUAGAGGUAUUUGGGAGUAGAUCGAGUUUAGCUCUUGGUUGAGCUAGUCUCCCUAACACAAGUACUGCUCUAGGCCUUGACACUCUUGGGAACUUUGAAGUUUUGAGGAUCCAAAGAGAGUCUUGGCCUUGAACGGAACUCUACCCUUAGCCUCUAAUCUAUUGAAAUUCUUUACUCCUGUUGGGUUUAGCAUUUAAUGACAACCAAAGGUCUUCAAUGCGACUCACUUUGCCAUAGCUGACCAUUAGUAUAAACUUUCAUAAUUCAAAUUACUAUCGGUUUAUUAUAUUUUGUUUAAGUCAUUUACCUAUAUAUCUCAUGUAUGAUUGCAUGUACAGAAUAUUAUAUCAAAUGACUUUCUCUCUUGCUUUCUGAACGUGUAUAACAAUUGGGCCUGCUGAGUUCUCGAAAGAACUCAAGUCCAAAUAUGCACUGCGCACUUGGGAGUCUGAAGCCCACUGCUGUCCGUUCCUGCUCUUUACUGGGCCUACAUCUUUGAGGCCCAAACCCCCAAGAGUCCAUUCUUUCCCUUCGCUCCUUCCUUUACAACUUUAGUUAUUUUACAAUUUCACUAUGUCGUUUCUUUUACUAUGUUCAUGUUGUUUUGUCUCAUAUGUAUAUUGCAAUUAUUUAUUGAAUG
rnacentral:lncRNA from 1 species